UACGUAGGGUCCGAGCGUUAAUCGGAAUUACUGGGCGUAAAGCGUGCGCAGGCGGUUUUGUAAGCCAGAUGUGAAAGCCCCGGGCUUAACCUGGGAAUGGCAUUUGGGACUGCAAGGCUGGAGUGUGGCAGAGGAGACUGGAAUUCCUGGUGUAGCAGUGAAAUGCGUAGAUAUCAGGAGGAAUACCGAUGGCGAAGGCAGGUCUCUGGGCUGACACUGACGCUCAUGCACGAAAGCGUGGGGAGCAAACAGG
rnacentral:rRNA from 1 species